AAGUUCGCGGGCUGAUUAGCUUGUUGGUAAGGUAAGAGCUUACCAAGGCGACGAUCAGUAUCUGGUUUGAGAGGACGAUCAGACACACUGGAACUGAGACACGGUCCAGACUCCUACGGGAGGCAGCAGUGGGGAAUUUUCCGCAAUGGGCGAAAGCCUGACGGAGCAAUACAGCGUGAGGGAAGACUGCCUAUGGGUUGUAAACCUCUUUUUUCAGGGAGGAAUAAAUGACGUGUACCUGAAGAAUAAGCAUCGGCUAACUCCGUGCCAGCAGCCGCGGUAAGACGGAGGAUGCAAGUGUUAUCCGGAAUCACUGGGCGUAAAGCGUCUGUAGGUGGUUUAAUAAGUCAACUGUUAAAUCUUGAGGCUCAACUUCAAAAUCGCAGUCGAAACUAUUAGACUAGAGUAUAGUAGA
rnacentral:rRNA from 1 species